rnacentral:RNase_P_RNA from 1 species
UAAGUAAGUCAGAUAAUCGCGGGCAGCAUUUUGCUGCGUGAGGAAAGUCGGAGCUCCAUAGAGCAAGGGUGCUAGGUAACGCCUAGUGGGAGCGAUCCUAAGGACAGUGCAACAGAAAAUUACCGCCACUUAAUUGUGGUAAGGAUGAAAAAGUGAGGUAAGAGCUCACUAUGGGCUAGGUGACUAGUUUCAUGUGUAAACCCCACCCGGAGCAAGACCAAGUUAGGAUAAAAAGAGUGCUGCUCGUACUCUCCGGUAUGGUAGGUCGCUUGAGCCUAUUGGUGACAAUAGGCCUAGAAAGAUGAUUAUCUAAUACAGAACUCCGCUUAUAGAUUUGCUUAAUUU